rnacentral:misc_RNA from 1 species
GAAAUGCGAUACGCAAUGCGAAUUGCAGAAUUCCGCGAGUCAUCAGAUCUUUGAACGCAACUGGCGCCAGGGGGAUAUCCUUCUGGCAUGCUUGUUUCAGUGUCUAGAAACAUCACACAUCUUAAUGUGAUUGAAUGUCGUCAAAAAGCAUUCUCUCAUGAAAAAUGACAGUGUGGAUCUUUUGGUCCAAUGAAGUAGUCACAUGUCACAAUGUGAUUUCAUUGGUAACACCGAAUUAUCCGUAAACAUUGACUAGACAACACAUCUUCAAUAUGCAUCUGAAAUCAAGCAAGGUCACCUGCUGAACUUAA